GACUAUAUAUUCAAUUAUGAUUUUAGAUUGCAAAUUUAAAGGUAGCUGUUAGCUUUUAGUUU
rnacentral:tRNA from 1 species